rnacentral:rRNA from 1 species
GAUGAACGCUGGCGGCGUGCCUAAUACAUGCAAGUCGAGCGAACAGAUGAGGAGCUUGCUCCUCUGACGUUAGCGGCGGACGGGUGAGUAACACGUGGAUAACCUACCUAUAAGACUGGGAUAACUUCGGGAAACCGGAGCUAAUACCGGAUAAUAUAUUGAACCGCAUGGUUCAAUAGUGAAAGACGGUUUUGCUGUCACUUAUAGAUGGAUCCGCGCCGCAUUAGCUAGUUGGUAAGGUAACGGCUUACCAAGGCAACGAUGCGUAGCCGACCUGAGAGGGGGAUCGGCGACACUGGAACUGAGACGCGGUCCAGACUCCUACGGGAGGCAGCAGUAGGGAAUCGUCCGCAGUGGGCGAAAGCCUGACGGAGCAACGGCGCGUGAGUGAUGGAGGUCUUCGGAUCGUAAAGCUGUGUUAUUGGGGAAGAACAAAUGUGUAAGUAACUAUGCACGUCUUGACGGUACCGAAUCAGAAAGCCACGGCUAACUACGUG